UUGAACGCUGGCGGCAUGCCUUACACCUGCAAGUCGAACGGCAGCACGGGUGCUUGCACCUGGUGGCGAGUGGCGAACGGGUGAGUAAUACAUCGGAACAUGUCCUGUAGUGGGGGAUAGCCCGGCGAAAGCCGGAUUAAUACCGCAUACGAUCUACGGAUGAAAGCGGGGGACCUUCGGGCCUCGCGCUAUAGGGUUGGCCGAUGGCUGAUUAGCUAGUUGGUGGGGUAAAGGCCUACCAAGGCGACGAUCAGUAGCUGGUCUGAGAGGACGACCAGCCACCCUGGGACUGAGACACGGCCCAGACUCCUACGGGAGGCAGCAGUGGGGAAUUUUUGGCAAUGGGCGAAAGCCUGAUCCAGCAAUGCCGCGUGUGUGAAGAAGGCCUUCGGGUUGUAAAGCACUUUUGUCCGGAAAGAAAUCCUUGGCCCUAAUACGGUCGGGGGAUGACGGUACCGGAAGAAUAAGCACCGGCUAACUACGUG
rnacentral:rRNA from 1 species